rnacentral:rRNA from 1 species
UACAGAGGGGGCAAGCGUUGUUCGGAAUUACUGGGCGUAAAGGGCGCGUAGGCGGCCUUCUAAGUCGAACGUGAAAUCCCCGGGCUCAACCCGGGAACUGCGUCCGAUACUGGAAGGCUUGAAUCCGGGAGAGGGAUGUGGAAUUCCAGGUGUAGCGGUGAAAUGCGUAGAGAUGUGGAGGAAUACCGAUGGCGAAGGCAGCCCCCUGGGAUAACACUGACGCUCAUGCACGAAAGCGUGGGGAGCAAACAGG